rnacentral:rRNA from 1 species
AAGUCGAACGAAGCAAUUAAGAUGAAGUUUUCGGAUGGAAUCUUGAUUGACUGAGUGGCGGACGGGUGAGUAACGCGUGGAUAACCUGCCUCACACUGGGGGAUAACAGUUAGAAAUGACUGCUAAUACCGCAUAAGCGCACAGUGCCGCAUGGCAGUGUGUGAAAAACUCCGGUGGUGUGAGAUGGAUCCGCGUCUGAUUAGCCAGUUGGCGGGGUAACGGCCCACCAAAGCGACGAUCAGUAGCCGACCUGAGAGGGUGACCGGCCACAUUGGGACUGAGACACGGCCCAAACUCCUACGGGAGGCAGCAGUGGGGAAUAUUGCACAAUGGGCGAAAGCCUGAUGCAGCGACGCCGCGUGAGUGAAGAAGUAUUUCGGUAUGUAAAGCUCUAUCAGCAGGGCAAGAAAAUGACGGUACCGUGACUAACGAACGCCCACGGCUAGACUAACGUGCCAGCAGCCGCGGUAAUACGUAGGGGGCAAGCGUUAUCCGGAUUUA